rnacentral:rRNA from 1 species
CUACGGGUUGCUGCAGUGGGGAAUAUUGCACAAUGGGCGCAAGCCUGAUGCAGCCAUGCCGCGUGUAUGAAGAAGGCCUUCGGGUUGUAAAGUACUUUCAGCGGGGAGGAAGGGAGUAAAGUUAAUACCUUUGCUCGUUGACGUUACCCGCAGAAGAAGCACCGGCUAACUCCGUGCCAGCAGCCGCGGUAAUACGGAGGGUGCAAGCGUUAAUCGGAAUUACUGGGCGUAAAGCGCACGCAGGCGGUUUGUUAAGUCAGAUGUGAAAUCCCCGGGCUCAACCUGGGAACUGCAUCUGAUACUGGCAAGCUUGAGUCUCGUAGAGGGGGGUAGAAUUCCAGGUGUAGCGGUGAAAGGCGUAGAGAUCUGGAGGAAUACCGGUGGCGAAGGCGGCCCCCUGGACGAAGACUGACGCUCAGGUGCGAAAGCGUGGGGAGCAAACAGGAUUAGAUACCCCUGUAGUC